ACUCCUACGGGAGGCAGCAGUGGGGAAUAUUGCACAAUGGGCGCAAGCCUGAUGCAGCCAUGCCGCGUGUAUGAAGAAGGCCUUCGGGUUGUAAAGUACUUUCAGCAGUGAGGAAGGUGGAUAUGUUAAUAGCAUACUCAUUUGACGUUAGCUGCAGAAGAAGCACCGGCUAACUCCGUGCCAGCAGCCGCGGUAAUACGGAGGGUGCGAGCGUUAAUCGGAAUUACUGGGCGUAAAGCGCAUGCAGGUGGUUUGUUAAGUCAGAUGUGAAAGCCCGGGGCUCAACCUCGGAAUUGCAUUUGAAACUGGCAAACUAGAGUACUGUAGAGGGGGGUAGAAUUUCAGGUGUAGCGGUGAAAUGCGUAGAGAUCUGAAGGAUACCGGUGGCGAAGGCGGCCCCCUGGGACAGAUACUGACACUCAGAUGCGAAAGCGUGGGGAGCAAACAGGAUUAGAUACCCUGGUAGGCUCU
rnacentral:rRNA from 1 species